AUUGAACGCUGGCGGCAUGCUUUACACAUGCAAGUCGAACGGCAGCGGGGUAGUGCUUGCACUACUGUCCGGCGAGUGGCGAACGGGUGAGUAAUAUAUCGGAACGUACCGAGUAAUGGGGGAUAACCAAUCGAAAGAUUGGCUAAUACCGCACACGUCCUACGGGAGAAAGCGGGGGAUCGCAAGACCUCGCGUUAUUCGAGCGGCCGAUAACUGAUUAGCUAGUUGGUGGGGUAAAGGCCUACCAAGGCGACGAUCAGUAGCGGGUCUGAGAGGACGAUCCGCCACACUGGGACUGAGACACGGCCCAGACUCCUACGGGAGGCAGCAGUGGGGAAUUUUGGACAAUGGGGGCAACCCUGAUCCAGCCAUGCCGCGUGUAUGAAGAAGGCCUUCGGGUUGUAAAGUACUUUUGUUAGGGAAGAAAAGGGAAGUGCUAAUACCACUUUUUGCUGACGGUACCUAAAGAAUAAGCACCGGCUAACUACGUGCCAGCAGCCGCGGUAAUACGUAGGGUGCGAGCGUUAAUCGGAAUUACUGGGCGUAAAGCGAGCGCAGACGGUUAUUUAAGCAGGAUGUGAAAUCCCCGGGCUUAACCUGGGAACUGCGUUCUGAACUGGAUAGCUAGAGUGUGUCAGAGGGGGGUAGAAUUCCACGUGUAGCAGUGAAAUGCGUAGAGAUGUGGAGGAAUACCGAUGGCGAAGGCAGCCCCCUGGGAUAACACUGACGUUCAUGCUCGAAAGCGUGGGUAGCAAACAGG
rnacentral:rRNA from 1 species